CAUAGUCUUUUGGAAAUUUAAAAGAUAAGCCCUGCCCAAUGAUUUAAUAGAAAAAUUUAAUGGCCGCAGUAUUUUAACUGUGCUAAGGUAGCAUAAUCAAUUGACUAUUAAUUGUAGUUCUAGAAUGAAUGGGUAAAUGAAUUUUUAUUGUCUCUUUAUAAAUUAAUUUAAUUUGCUUAUUAGGUGCAAAUACCUAGGAGAAAAUAUUAGACGAGAAGACCCUAAGAGCUUUUAAUUUAUUUUUAACCAAAAAUUUUUUGUUGGGGCGACAUGGAGACAUUUAUUUUAAACUCUCCUCUUUUUGCUUUUUUGCCGGAAAAAUAAAAUUAAAAUCAAGUAAAAUUAAGCUACCUUAGGGAUAACAGCGUAAUAAAUUUUUUUUGUUUGCGACCUCGAUGUUGGAUUAGGAAUUUUAUUUAGCUAACAGUUAAAAAAAUUGGUUCUGUUCGAACUA
rnacentral:rRNA from 1 species